GAGUUUGAUAUGGCUCAGGACGAACGCUGGCGGCGUGCUUAACACAUGCAAGUCACGGGGGCUGGGCAACCAGCAACCGGCGAACGGGUGCGUAACACGUGAGCGACCUGCCGAUCCGCGGGGGAUAGCCGGCCCAACGGCCGGGUAAUACCGCAUACGCUGCCCCCCCCACCUGGGGGGGGCAGGAAACCUCCGGGGCGGACCGAGGGGCUCGCGGCCUAUCAGCUCGUUGGCGGGGUAACGGCCCACCAAGGCGACGACGGGUAGCUGGUCUGAGAGGAUGGCCAGCCACAUUGGGACUGAGAGACGGCCCAGACUCCUACGGGAGGCAGCAGUGGGGAAUCUUGCGCAAUGGUCUAACGACUGACGCAGCGACGCCGCGUGUGGGAGGACGCCCCUCGGGGUGUAAACCACUGUUGCCCGGGACGAACGGGCGGUUUCGACCGCCGUGACGGUACCGGGUGAGGAAGCACCGGCUAACUCCGUGCCAGCAGCCGCGGUAAUACGGAGGGUGCGAGCGUUGUCCGGAAUCACUGGGCGUAAAGGGCGCGUAGGCGGCGGCUUAAGCGCGCGGUGAAAGCCCGGGGCUCAACCCCGGGUCGGCCGUGCGGACUGAGCGGCUCGAGCACUGUAGAGGCGGGUGGAACUCCGGGUGUAGCGGUGGAAUGCGUAGAGAUCCGGAAGAACACCGGUGGCGAAGGCGGCCCGCUGGGCAGUGGCUGACGCUGAGGCGCGACAGCGUG
rnacentral:rRNA from 1 species